AGUGAACGCUGGCGGUAGGCCUAACACAUGCAAGUCGAACGGCAGCACAGUAAGAGCUUGCGUUUACGGGUGGCGAGUGGCGGACGGGUGAGGAAUACAUCGGAAUCUACUUUUUCGUGGGGGAUAACGUAGGGAAACUUACGCUAAUACCGCAUACGACCUACGGGUGAAAGCAGGGGAUCUUCGGACCUUGCGCGAUUGAAUGAGCCGAUGUCGGAUUAGCUAGUUGGCGGGGUAAAGGCCCACCAAGGCGACGAUCCGUAGCUGGUCUGUGAGGAUGAUCGGCCACACUGGAGCUGAGACGCGGUCCAGGCUCCUGCGGGAGGCAGCAGUGGGGAAUAGUGGACAAUGGGCGCAAGCCUGAUACAGCCAUACCGCGUGGGUGAAGGAGGCCUUCGGGUUGUAAAGCCCUUUUGUGGGGAAAGAAAAGCAGCAGGUUAAUACCCCGCUGUUCUGACGGUACCCAAAGAAUAAGCACCGGCUAACUUCGUG
rnacentral:rRNA from 1 species